ACGAACGCUGGCGGCGUGCUUAACACAUGCAAGUCGAACGGAAAGGCCUCAGCUUGCUGGGGUACUCGAGUGGCGAACGGGUGAGUAACGCGUGGGUGAUCUGCCUUGCACUCUGGGAUAAGCUUGGGAAACUGGGUCUAAUACCGGAUAUGAACUGCCUUUAGUGUGGUGGUUGGAAAGUUUUUUCGGUGCAAGAUGAGCUCGCGGCCUAUCAGCUUGUUGGUGGGGUAAUGGCCUACCAAGGCGUCGACGGGUAGCCGGCCUGAGAGGGUGUACGGCCACAUUGGGACUGAGAUACGGACCAGACUCCUACGGGAGGCAGCAGUGGGGAAUAUUGCACAAUGGGCGGAAGCCUGAUGCAGCGACGCCGCGUGGGGGAUGACGGCCUUCGGGUUGUAAACUCCUUUCGACAGGGACGAAGCUUUUUGUGACGGUACCUGUAUAAGAAGCACCGGCUAACUACGUG
rnacentral:rRNA from 1 species